GACGAACGCUGGCGGCGUGCUUAACACAUGCAAGUCGAACGGAAAGGCCCUGCUUUUGUGGGGUGCUCGAGUGGCGAACGGGUGAGUAACACGUGAGUAACCUGCCCUUGACUUUGGGAUAACUUCAGGAAACUGGGGCUAAUACCGGAUAGGAGCUCCUGCUGCAUGGUGGGGGUUGGUAAGUUUCGGCGGUUGGGGAUGGACUCGCGGCUUAUCAGCUUGUUGGUGGGGUAGUGGCUUACCAAGGCUUUGACGGGUAGCCGGCCUGAGAGGGUGACCGGCCACAUUGGGACUGAGAUACGGCCCAGACUCCUACGGGAGGCAGCAGUGGGGAAUAUUGCACAAUGGGCGGAAGCCUGAUGCAGCAACGCCGCGUGCGGGAUGACGGCCUUCGGGUUGUAAACCGCUUUCGCCUGUGACGAAGCGUGAGUGACGGUAAUGGGUAAAGAAGCACCGGCUAACUACGU
rnacentral:rRNA from 1 species